rnacentral:rRNA from 1 species
UACGUAGGGUGCGAGCGUUAAUCGGAAUUACUGGGCGUAAAGUGUGCGCAGGCGGCCGAGCAAGUCGAGUGUGAAAGCCCCGAGCUUAACUUGGGAACUGCGCUCGAAACUACUUGGCUAGAGUGUGGCAGAGGGAGGUGGAAUUCCACGUGUAGCAGUGAAAUGCGUAGAGAUGUGGAGGAACACCGAUGGCGAAGGCAGCCCCCUGGGCUAACACUGACGCUCAUGCACGAAAGCGUGGGGAGCAAACAGG